rnacentral:rRNA from 1 species
AUUGAACGCUGGCGGCAUGCUUUACACAUGCAAGUCGAACGGCAGCGGGGAGGAGCUUGCUUCUCUGCCGGCGAGUGGCGGACGGGUGAGUAAUACAUCGGAACGUGUCGAGAAGAGGGGGAUAACAACCCGAAAGGGUGGCGAAUACCGCAUAAAUUCUGAGGAAGAAAGCUGGUGACCUAGGAAUAGGCAUAGCGCUGUUUGAGCGGCCGAUGUCGGCUUAGCUAGUUGGUGAGGUAAAGGCGCACCAAGGCGAAGAUCUGUAGCGGGUCUGAGAGGAGGAUCCGCCACACUAGGACUGAGACGAGGCCGAGACUCCUACGGGAGGCAGCAGUGGGGAAUUUUAGACAAUGGGGGCAACCCUGAUCCAGCCAUGCCGCGUGUAUGAAGAAGGCCUUAGUGUUGUAAAGUACUUUUGUUAGGGAAGAAAAGUCAGCUGUGAAUAAUGGCUGAUACUGACGGUACCUAAAGAAUAAGCACCGGCUAACUACGUG